rnacentral:rRNA from 1 species
CAGCACCUCAAGUGGUCAGGAUGAUUAUUGGGCCUAAAGCAUCCGUAGCCGGCGCUGUAAGUUUUCGGUUAAAUCUGUACGCUCAACGUACAGGCUGCCGGGAAUACUGCAGCGCUAGGGAGUGGGAGAGGUAGACGGUACUCGGUAGGAAGGGGUAAAAUCCUUUGAUCUAUUGAUGACCACCUGUGGCGAAGGCGGUCUACCAGAACACGUCCGACGGUGAGGGAUGAAAGCUGGGGGAGCAAACCGGAUUAGGGACCCGAGUAGUCC